rnacentral:lncRNA from 1 species
GUUAUCCCCCCCCCCCCAGUUAUUCCCCCCGCCCCCCCGCAGUUAUUCAGUAUUUAUAGCAGCAGUCACUGCACACUGUGGUUCCCACCCAACGCUGCAUUUAUUCUGUCGCGCGCAUUGUCCCAGCUCUGCUAACUAGGAGUUUAUUUUUGUAUUUGAUUAUUGUGAUUUAUUCCAAAGGCACAUUGACAGAAAGGGAGAGACAGACCAAAAGAACUCUUCCACCCACUGGGUCACUCCCCACGUGGCUGCUGCAGCUGGGCCGGGCCGGGCGGAGACCAGGAGCCUGGAACCCACCUGCUUCUCCCACGUGGGUGCAGGGGCCAAGCGCUUGGGCCAUCAUCUGCUGCUUCCCCAGGCGCGUUAGCAGGGAGCGGGAUCGGAAGUGGAGCAGCCGGGACUUGAACUGGUGCCGGUGUGGGGCGCUGGUGUCACAGGCGGUGACUUAAUCUGCUAGGCCACAACGCUGGCCCCAGUUGGGAGGUGUUUUUUUUUUUUCCCCCGUGUCUGCUCCUGUGUCCCUUUAACGUAUUGCUUGUUUCUUUUUUAUUCAAGUUAGCAUGCAUGAAGGAAGGCGCACACGUUGCAAGCGCAGCCUUUUGAAUUUUCACAUAAUUAAUACCCAGAGGAGGUACAGAGCAUCACCCUCACAAGGAGGCUCUCCUCAUUCUUCCACAGGGAUGCUGAUGUCUGACGCUGGGAAUUCCUGCCUCCUGUUUUUAAGACUUAUGGUAACUUCGGAUCAGCGCGGUGCGCCGGCGGCGGCCAUUGGAAGCCCAGUUCACUCAUGUCAUUGAUGGGGAAUGACUUCAGGAAUAGGAAGUGCAAAAACUCAACGGGACUCUGCUCUGUCACCAGCUCCGGUGCGCCACUUGCCUCCUGCCAGUGAUGGUACCACUAGCCAUCCAGAAUCCCUCCAGUGGGACGUGGGCCUUGCCAUUUGUAGCAGGCUGUCUCCAAGGAUAAUUGUUAGCAAAUCCUCCCAUCCCAGUGUGCGCAUGCUGCUCCUCCAGUCAAGGGGCUAGGGUUGUGGCACAGUGAGCCAAGCUGCUGCCUGCCAUGCUGACAUUCUGCAUCAGAGGACUGGUUCAAGUCCUGGCUGCGCUGCUUCAGAUCCAGCUCCCUGCUAAUGUGCCUUAAAGGCAGCAGAAGAUGGCCCAAGGACUUGAAUCCCUGCCACCCACAUGGGAGACCAGGCUGGAGUUCCUGGCUUCUGGAUUUGGGCUGGCCCAGUCCCAGCUAUUGCGGCCAUCUGGGGAAUGAAUCAGUGGAUGAAAGAUCUCUCUCUCUCUCUCCUCCCCACCAUCUUUCCCUCUCUAUUUGUAACUCUUUAAAAUAAAUAAAUAGAUUUUUUUGACA